UACGGGGGGGGCAAGCGUUGUUCGGAAUUACUGGGCGUAAAGGGUUCGUAGGUGGCUGGCUAAGCCAGACGUGAAAUCCCUCAGCUUAACUGGGGAACUGCGUCUGAUACUGGAUGGCUCGAGUGCAGGAGAGGAACGCGGAAUUCCAGGUGUAGCGGUGAAAUGCGUAGAUAUCUGGAGGAACACCGGUGGCGAAGGCGGCGUUCUGGACUGCAACUGACACUGAGGAACGAAAGCCAGGGGAGCAAACGGG
rnacentral:rRNA from 1 species